GUGGCUCGUGGCUCGGACACACUCCACAGAGCAAUCACAAUAUAGUGAAUACAGUAGACUGUAUACCAUUGAAAAAACCCUAAGGACAAAGCUUAUCGAGAAAUGAGCGAUUGUCCAACCCUUGGUUUACACUGCACACCCUGCACACAUUCAAAAUACUUUGGAAAAUGAAAGGGUGGUGCAUUUGCCAUCGAUUUUCAAGAUGUGUGUGGUCAAUGGGGUAUUUGCAUGACAACUACGUAUUGAUUCUGUGACUUACUUGCAGCCGGGUUGUUGCAUACGAGAUAGAUGUUGGUUUAGAGUGGGUGUAGUUGUUAUCACGUCAUGUGUUGGUCAGAACAUAGUUAAUAGAAUUGAUGGUUUGGAAAC